AUCCAGAUGACUAGUCCCAAAUAGGACGAAAUGCGCAUCCUAGAU
rnacentral:hammerhead_ribozyme from 1 species